UAGGGAAUCUUCGGCAAUGGACGAAAGUCUGACCGAGCAACGCCGCGUGAGUGAAGAAGGUUUUCGGAUCGUAAAACUCUGUUGUUAGAGAAGAACAAGGACGUUAGUAACUGAACGUCGCCUGACGGUAUCUAACCAGAAAGCCACGGCUAACUACGUGCCAGCAGCCGCGGUAAUACGUAGGUGGCAAGCGUUGUCCGGAUUUAUUGGGCGUAAAGCGAGCGCAGGCGGUUUCUUAAGUCUGAUGUGAAAGCCCCCGGCUCAACCGGGGAGGGUCAUUGGAAACUGGGAGACGUGAGUGCAGAAGAGGAGAGUGGAAGUCCAUGUGUAGCGGUAAAAUGCGUAGGUAUAUGGGGGAACACCAGUGGCGAAGGCGGCUCUCUGGUCUGUAACUGACGCUGAGGCUCGAAAGCGUGGGGAGCAAACAGG
rnacentral:rRNA from 1 species